rnacentral:rRNA from 1 species
GAACGGGUGAGUAACACGUGGGCAAUCUGCCCUGCACUCUGGGACAAGCCCUGGAAACGGGGUCUAAUACCGGAUACGACCUGCCCUCGCAUGGGGGUGGGUGGAAAGCUCCGGCGGUGCAGGAUGAGCCCGCGGCCUAUCAGCUUGUUGGUGAGGUAGUGGCUCACCAAGGCGACGACGGGUAGCCGGCCUGAGAGGGCGACCGGCCACACUGGGACUGAGACACGGCCCAGACUCCUACGGGAGGCAGCAGUGGGGAAUAUUGCACAAUGGGCGAAAGCCUGAUGCAGCGACGCCGCGUGAGGGAUGACGGCCUUCGGGUUGUAAACCUCUUUCAGCAGGGAAGAAGCGAAAGUGACGGUACCUGCAGAAGAAGCGCCGGCUAACUACGUGCCAGCAGCCGCGGUAAUACGUAGGGCGCGAGCGUUGUCCGGAAUUAUUGGGCGUAAAGAGCUCGUAGGCGGCUUGUCACGUCGAUUGUGAAAGCCCGGGGCUUAACCCCGGGUCUGCAGUCGAUACGGGCAGGCUAGAGUUCGGUAGGGGAGAUCGGAAUUCCUGGUGUAGCGGUGAAAUGCGCAGAUAUCAGGAGGAACACCGGUGGCGAAGGCGGAUCUCUGGGCCGAUACUGACGCUGAGGAGCG